CAGACCACCAGCUAAGCCCCAAUCAUCAUUCAGUGAUAAAGGAGGUGGGAAUGCAGAGACAACCAGGAGGUUUGCCUAGAAGCAGCCAUCCUUAAAAGAGUGCGUAAUAGCUCACUGGUCAAGCGUUCCUGACGCCGAAAAUGAACGGGGCUAAAUGAUGUGCCGAAGCUGUGGGAUUAAUUAAUUAAUCGGUAGGGGAGCGUUCCAUUGUAGUGCGAAGCAUCAGCGAGAGCAGGUGUGGACGAAGUGGAAGUGAGAAUGUCGGCUUGAGUAGCGCAAACAUUGGUGAGAAUCCAAUGCCCUGAAAUCCUAAGGUUUCCUCCGCAAGGCUCGUCCACGGAGGGUUAGUCGGGACCUAAGGCGAGGUCGAAAGACGUAGUCGAUGGCGAACAGGUUAAUAUUCCUGUACCGAUUUAUGGUUGUGCAGAGGGACGGAGAAGGCUAACGCAGCCGGAAGUUGGUUACCGGUUCAAGGCAUCCGAGGUGAUGAGAGACCGGAGAAAACGUCUUGAGCUGAGGUGUGAGUACGGAGGAGAUACGUCUCCGAAGUGUGUGAUGUCAA
rnacentral:rRNA from 1 species